GGGGGCAGGAGGGGGAGUGGUCAGCGGGGGGCGGGGGGCGCGGUGGCUUCAGCCGUCCUUCUCCGGGACGCGCUCCUCGUACACGCGCCAGGCAGCCGGGUGCCAGCGCCGGGGGUGUGAGAGUGUGUGUGCAAGUGCGAGCGUGCGCGCGUGAGUGGCAGUGGCCGUGGCUGCCGCCGCCAUCCGGACUGCUCCGGGGGCCCGGCUGCUCCGCGCGUCUGCCCGGGGCUCACGGGGCCCGGGGCGGCUGCUGGUUGGCUCGCGCACCGCCCUCGCCUCCAAUCCCUGGUGCCUGUCCUAAUUUCCUGAUCCAGGGAACCUGCCGGCGCAGCAGCUGUGCGCUCCCUACAGUCUUUACUGUGCCCUCCCGGCAGCCGCCGACUGUAAAUGCAGCAGGAGCAGUUAGCGCUGAUGUAACUCUUGCUGCUGUUGCCCUCGCCUCCCCACUAACGGGGCUGUCGCCGCUGUCUGGGGUGAGGUGCAGCUUCCAGGGACAGCAAACGUCUUUGUGCCGCCCUCUCCUGCGCCCCUCGGAGAGGCUGGCACUCUGAGGCCGAAAAGACUAUCAUAUGAACCAGAGAGGGUAACUGGAACCAAAGAAAUGACUACAGCAUCUAGCUAAAGGCCUGACCUAGGAAAUGAGAAGGAUAUUCAACUCGAUGGAGGGGCCAAGACACAAGCAAUACAUGUACAACUGGGUCAUGAUAAGGAAAAUGCUGUUGAAUUCUCUGUUCAGCCUGAGGUGACGGAAGUGAGCCAUUUUCACCUGUCCUCACCACCACACCUACCUGGCUGCUAUCAGGCGAAGUCCCAACAUGGAGCAUGUUUGUUCAGGGCAAAGAGACAUUCAGCACCACAAGGAGAACAUGAAAGAAAAAGUUCAUUUCAGAAGAACUUGGUGUUAUCAGAAAAGGUCAGCAAAUUGGAAAAUAAUCUUCAUGAAAAGAGAAGUAGAAAUCAUGAAACUGCAGAACUCAGUGACAUUUCCAGAGAAACAAAUUCCUGAUUUCUGAACACAUUUUAUAUCCUGAACUGUUCUAUAGAAAUUAUGCCACUAAUUAAUUGUUAUAAAGCACUCCAAGUGUCACCCAGCAAGUUUCAGUGCUCACAAGUACUUAGCAAGAAUAAGAAUUUCUAAGUUUUCAUGUAAACUCCAUCUAAUGAAGUUCUGGUCAGAGUCACAGAUGAAGACAGAAAAUCCUCUUUCAUCCUUGAACAAACAGGAUAAAUUACAAAAAAGAAAAGGAAGAAGUUAAGAGGAGUACCCAAGAUCUAUUGUUUGGGCCACUUUGGAAGAUACUGUUAAGAGAGAUGACACUAAUAGCUGUAAUUUUUUAAAAAGACAAACUUGCUAGAGUGUGUAAAAAUAAUUCUGGAUGUGGCUUCUUUAACUGUUGACUCUGUGAAUAAUUUUUGGAAAGACAGGUGGGUUACAAAUGGCAAAUAAAUACAUGAAAACAUGUUCAA